UACAGAGGUCCCAAGCGUUUGUUCGGAUUCAUUGGGCGUAAAGGGUGCGUAGGUGGCGCCGUAAGUCAGGUGUGAAAUCUCGGGGCUUAACUCCGAAACUGCAUUUGAUACUGCGGUGCUUGAGGACUGGAGAGGAGACUGGAAUUUACGGUGUAGCAGUGAAAUGCGUAGAGAUCGUAAGGAAGACCAGUGGCGAAGGCGGGUCUCUGGACAGUUCUGACACUGAGG
rnacentral:rRNA from 1 species